AUUUGAAUUGUGCGAUUUGAUUGUAAUAAUUCUAAAAGUUCGAAAUAAAAAUUAUAAUAAAUUAAAAUAUAAUGACGAAAGUAUAUAUCAUGCCACACAUAGCUAGAGGACCAAAAGUGUAAUUUAUCCUUAUUUGAAAUUAAAAAUGCAAUAUGAGUAAUACAGCCUACAAUAUUUAAAUGCUUUAUGUAUAUUUAAAUUGAUAAAAACAUACAAAAUCUAUCUAAACCACGAAUCAUUUUUAAUCAGUUAUCUAAUUUUUUAGAGUAAACUUCAAAUAUCCUCAUAUAUGUUUCAUACUUUCUCACUUUAAUACCUAUACUUUAAAGUGUAUCAAGUUAAUUCCUGUGGUUUCGCACUAUCUCCCAAAAUCCAGUUUAGAUAUUGAUGCGCCGGAGCCAAGGAUCACUUUCGGUCUUUACUAAAUAAUCCAAAGGACCAAUUCUCAGAAUCAAUGUCACAAUGUAAUUCACAUAUUUUUGUACCUGUUGCAUCAUUUAUUAUUGUAGUAAUCAACACCUCAUCAUGCCAUCUACAUCCUCCAAUGUAAUUGGCACAUAAAAAAUUAAUAAAAACAUACAUAACUUACACCAUUUUAAAUCUAUUAUUUAAUUUUUAAAAAUUUUAAUUUUAUUAUCCAAAUUUUUAAUUUUAUUUAAUUUGAAUUAGACAAUAAUAUUUAACUUCAAAAUUUAAGAUUAUUAUUUAAUUUAAUAAAUUUAUAGUUACGAAAAUUGUACAUUUGUAUAAAAUAUACUAGCUAAAUUUAUUAAAGCAUACGAUGUAUUUAUAUUUUAAAAUUAAGAUAUCGUUGGCUGAUUCAAAUCAAACAAAUUAAAAGAUUAGAUAAUAAAAUUAAAAUUUGAAAGAUUGAAUAAACAAUUCAAAAUAUUUUAUAGUUUAGAUAAAUUUUAUAUAUUUUUAUCUUAAAAAAAAUGAAAUAAAAAUGUCUCCCGAAAAAGAUUGCUGACUCCUUGGCGCAACGAAGACCUCUCUCAACCAGUCCGUUUGGCGGGUCCAUUUUAAAAAUACUUAGAAGGCCAAAUUCUUUUUGGUUCGAAACUUUUUACUUGUUUCAUUCUAAUUUGAUUAAAUUUUGGAGGUAGAUAAGGCAUCUUUUUCUUUGCUAUUGAUUGCUUCUUCUGUGAUAGCAACAUUUGAUAAUAGAAAUAAUUCGGUAUGGCUAAAAUCAGUUGAAGUGUAUAUUGUAUCACAACGUAAAAAAGAUAUAUAUAAUUAUACUAUUGUAAUAAUUGUGAGUUUGAGAGGUGGGUCACCGACAUCUGUACUAUUUUAAUAAAAGGUUAAUUUCAUUUGUACCCUCACAAAGUUAUGAAAUAUCAUAAAUACCCUUUGAAUUUUUAAAAUUUCACAAAUACCCCUCUAAAUACAAUAUUUCUUUUAUAAAUAUCCUUACCGUUAUUUUUUGCUAACUUCCGUCAGCAUAGCAUUUUUUUUAUUUUAUUUCAAAAUAUGAAAUUACCAUUUUACCCUUAUUUUUUGUUUAAAAAUCAAACUUUUGUCACUUAUUUUUUGAUAUUUAUACUAAAACUAUCAACUAUAGGUCAUUUAAGUAAAUCCUUGAAGUUUUUAUUAAUUUUCUUUUUUGAACAUAAAAUUAUUUAAUUUUAUAUACUACGAAGUUAUUAAAAUUAUUAAAUUUGUUUGAAUCAUUAAUGGAUUAGAUAAAAUCUCUAAUUUAAUAAUAAAAAAUAAUUCAAUUUAAGAAAAUAAAAUUUAAGAAGACUUUAAUUAAAAAGUUAAAUUUAGGAGGGUAUUUCACAAUGGGUUGUAAUUGAGGGGGUCUCCAUAUAUUCAAAAAAAAAAAUUGUGAGAGUGGUGAUUAAAUUAAAAUAGAGGGUAAAACUGGUAUUUUGAAGCUAAUAUAACAGAUUGCUAGCAGUGAGGGUAUUUUUGAAACUUUUCCAUGCUUUUGGAGGACAAAUAUGAAAUUUUAAAAUUUUGAAGGGCAAUCAUGAAAUUAGAACUACUUGGAAGGGUAUUAAAGAAAUUUUCCCUUUAAUAAAUGUGUGCUGUAGAGUGAUCAGUCCUUUUUUCAUCUGUCGAGAAAAAAUCAUAACAUUUUUGAAAUUUUUUUUUUUAGAUUUGAGAGCGUUUUGCACGUUUUACCUAUCUAUCGGCCCUAUCAUCUAUUAUAUUAUCUCCUCAUCUUAUUUGUAGUAGUCAACACCACACGGUGCUUCGUCGUCCUCAUAAGUAAUUGGCACAUAAAAAAAAUUGAUAAAAACAUACAAAGCUUAUAUUAUUUUAAAUCAGUUAUUUAAUUUUUAAAAAUUUUAAUUUUACUAUCUAAUCUUUCAGUUUUUUUUUAUUUAAGUUAGUCAAUAAUAAUACUUUAACUUCAAAUUUUAACUUUAUUAUUUAAUUUAAUAAAUUUAUAAUUAUGAAAAUUAUAUAAAGUAUAUUACCUAAAUCUAUUAGAAUUGAUGAUGUAUUCAUAUUUUAGAAUCAAAAUACUGUUGAUCGACUCAAACAAAUUAAUAAUCUUAAAUAGCAAAAUUAAAAUUUUGAAAGAGAAUCAAAAUUUGUGUUGUGGAGAAUUAAUUUCUCCCUUGGCUUAAUUAGGGACCCGUGAAGGAGAGCUCUCAAUAUCCGGUCUAGACUUCAAUGGGCGCGGAGUCAACGAUCGUUUUCGGUCUUUACUAAACAAUCUCUAUUUAUUUAUUUAUUUAUUUUUUUAUGAGAUAGAUAGCACGCUGUCCGUUUCGUUUAUUUCAUUUAAAAAUAAAUUUAACUAGAAAUAUGAAUCAAUUAGAAUUCGAACUUAGAUUUUGAAUGCUAACAAUUAAGUCCUUUGCCACUUGUUCUAGAAACGGUCCGUGUCUUUACUAAACAAUCCAAGGACCAGUUCUCACAAUCAAUGUCACAGUGUGAUUCACAUUCUUCUGUCUCCGUUGCAUAAUCAACACCUCAUCUCGUCAACGCCAGCCUCGUAUGUAAUCCGCACAAAAAAAAAAAAAAAUUAAAAUAUAUAAAACUUACACCAUUUUAAAUAGAUUAUUUAUUAUUUAAAAAUUUUAGUUUUAUUAUUUAAUUAUUUAAUUUAUAUUGGUCAAUAAUAUUCUAACUUUAAAAUUUAAACUUGUUAUUUAAUUAAUAAAUUUAUAGUUGCGAGAAUCAUAUAGAAUAUAAUUACUAAAUUUGUUAAGGUAAAUAGUGUAUUCAUAUUUUAAAAUUAAAAUAUCAUUGAUUUAGUUAAAUCAAACAAAUUGAAAAAAUUCGAUUGUGAAAUUAAAAUUUAGAAAGUUGAAUAUUAUUGACCAAUAUAUCCAAAUAAAAUAUAACUAUAAAUCUAAGAAAAUCCUCUAAGUCAGGAAAGCAAUAAUUGCAAAAAGGUGCUAAUGCUCACUAGAUAGACCUUUUGAAGGAGGUAUUCUUUACUGACAAUUAAUAUUGUAUAAUUUGUAUACAAGGUGUUAGGAUUUGGUUAGAUUUAUAGUUAUAUUUUAUUUGGAUAAAAAUUAAUAUUUAAAUUUUUAAGAUAAAUUAAGAUUUAAAUAUUAAUUAGAGGAUAAACCUAACUAGAUUAGGAUUAAUAUUUAAAUUUAUUAGAGAUUGAUUAAGAUAGAUUUAGAUAUUAAUUAAAGUAUGAAUCCUAAAUAUAUUAGGAUUAGGGUACGUUUUAAGUUGAGCAUUAUAAAUAGACAUUGUGGCUCUCUUUCUUGAGUGUAGUACGGCUGGAACCAUUGGGGUGUCGUACCAGAGAGAGAAAAAGAGAGAGAGAGAGUUAUUUUAGUGCACCUUGUGCACGGGUGCACGCGGAGAGGUCUUUUUUGUGGGUUUAUAGAAGGCGAGAGAAGGGUAGAAGAGAUUCAAGAAAAAGGGAUCGGGUUGUAGCUAUUCUGUACAGAAGAGGAGUCAGGUGUAAUAUUCUCUUAUUUAAACUUUUAUCUUUUAUGAUUGUAUCAGUUUUUGCUGAGGAGACGGGUUUAUGGUAAAAAUUCGAUUUGACGUUUUCGCUGCGGAAUCCCAACAAUCGAUACCGGAUCCACAGCAGUCGGUAUCGGAGCGGAUUGCUGAUUCACGAGAUCCGGUACCGGGGCGAGUACCGGAUUCCCAACACAAGGUGCUAUUGGGAUCCGUUAAACUUUUUCGACACAAUUUGAGGAUGAAGAUAUCU
rnacentral:lncRNA from 1 species